GUUACGGCUGUUUGCAAACCUACCUGUGCUGCAACUAGUACUUGUAAAUGGACAUGCGAAAAUUCCUCGAACGUUGCAAUAGCUGGUGCAUAUGUGGACGUCUGCCGAGCUGUCAAUGAUACGUGUGGAUCAGCAACAGGAAAAGGGAAAUGCAAAACUAAAUGUGUAGCAA